GUAAUGGUGUCUUUAGACACCACCCUUUGUCUUCAAAAAAAUUUGU
rfam:Picea glauca, whole genome shotgun sequence.